UACAGAGGUGGCAAGCGUUGUUCGGAAUUACUGGGCGUAAAGGGCGCGUAGGCGGUCUGGUCAGUCCCUUGUGAAAUCCCCCGGCUCAACUGGGGAACUGCACGGGAAACAGCCGGGCUUGAGUUCGGGAGAGGGAAGCGGAAUUCCGGGUGUAGCGGUGAAAUGCGUAGAUAUCCGGAGGAACACCGGUGGCGAAGGCGGCUUCCUGGACCGAUACUGACGCUGAGGCGCGAAAGCGUGGGGAGCAAACAGG
rnacentral:rRNA from 1 species